rnacentral:rRNA from 1 species
AUUGAACGCUGGCGGCAGGCUUAACACAUGCAAGUCGAGCGAGCGGCGGACGGGUGAGUAAUGUCUGGGAAACUGCCUGAUGGAGGGGGAUAACUACUGGAAAAGGUAGCUAAUAACGCCUCCCAUCAGCUGUGCCCAGAUGGGAGUAGCUAGUAGGUGGGGUAAUGGUCCACCUAGGCGACGAUCCCUAGCUGGUCUGAGAGGAUGACCAGCCACACUGGAACUUAGACACGGUCCAGACUCCUACGGGAGGCAGCAGUGGGGAAUAUUGCACCAUGGGCGCGAUCCUGAUGCAGCCAUGCCGCGUGUGUGAAGAAGGCCUUCGGGUUGUAAAGCACUUUCAGCGAGGAGGCGUUACUCGCAGAAGAAGCACCGGCUAACUCCGUGCCAGCAGCCGCGGUAAUUC